GCGUUGCCAACUAAAUAGAAAUAGUUGGUCAUGUUGUGACGUCACGUGUGCUGCCAUCAGUCUGGCAGCGCUACACAGAAACGAUACCACCGGCUGUACGAAAUGUAUCGAGCUAGCCCAAUAAGAAUCCAAGUUUCAGUAUUAUAGUAACGUGUGCCGUAGUCAGUGGUGGAUAUAUAUUCUGUCCGAUAUCGGAUUAUGCGUACUGCGUGCGUUUAAAAUCACACACACCAAAAAAACCAAUAGCAGCAGCAGCAACAACAACAACUACAAUAACAAAAGCAACAGAGUAAUCAAAAGAAGUAAAAAGUCAGCAAGUGGAGA